AGGGCUAUAGCUCAGUUAGGUAGAGCACCUCGUUUACCUACGGUUCGAGUCCGUAUAGCCCUACC
rnacentral:tRNA from 2 species